CUAGUAUAUUUGGUGUAUGGAAAGACUGGAAGGUGUACAUGUCCAACUGGCAGGUGUCAUCUGACCUUGACCUCGUUUUCAUGGUUCAGUGGUUAUAGUUAAGUUUUUGUGUUUUGGUCUGUUUUUCUCAUACUUUAUGCAAUAGGUCUACUAUAUUUGUUGUAUGGAAUGAUUGUAAGGUGUACAUGUCUAGCGGGCAGAUGUCAUCUGACCUUGAUCUCAUUUUCAUGGUUCAGUGGUCAAAGUUAAGUUUUUAAGUUUUGGUCUUUUUAUCUAAUAUUAUAUGCCAAAGGUCAACUAUAUUUGGUGUAUGGAAAUAUAUUAUGAUCUAUAUGUCAGUCCCGCAGGUUUUAUUUGACCAUGACCUCAUUGCACGGUUCAUUGCACAGUGUUAAGUUUUUGUGUUUUGGUCUAUUUUUCUUAAACUAUAAGUAGUAGGUCAACUAUAUUUGUUAUAUGGAAGCUUUGUUAGCUGUACAUAUCUGCCUGGCAUGGUUCAUCUGACCUUGACCUCAUUUUUAUGGUUCAUUGGUCUUUGUUUAGCUAUCUUGGUUAAUGUUAAGUUUAUGUGACAGUUGUAAUAAAGCUUUAUACUUAGGACUAUCAACAUAAUAUCAAUGAUUAGUAAAGAAGGCGAGACAUUUCAGUGUGUGCACUCUUGUCCUUUCUUAUUGUAACUUUCCUUUCCUUCAUCAUUUGAUGACUUAAUGAUGAGGAUGUUAUGUAGGGAUAUCCAUACAUCCUUAAGACCUGUAAAUUAACAUUAUACGCAAGGGGG
rnacentral:lncRNA from 1 species